rnacentral:lncRNA from 1 species
AAGAGCCUCUUGGACACUUCAAAUCAUACAGUAUGGCUUCACUCAUCAUACAACUUUUUUAAGUGAGUGAUCAUGGCCCGAACAGUGGGCAUAUACUCGUGCUAGCUUUACAGCUCGUUUGACAUGGAUGCCAGCACAUAGCACUUGAUCCGACUGUCUUCAUCUAUUUACUUUUCAAAAGUAGUUUUUUGCUCAGCAGUAGGACAGUUUGGUAGCACCACA